rnacentral:rRNA from 1 species
UACGGAAGGGGCUAGCGGUGUUCGGAAUUACUGGGCAUAAAGAGCGCGUAGGCGGCUUACCAAGUUGGGGGUGAAAUCCCGGAGCUCAACUCGGGAACUGCCUUCAAAACUGGUAGGCUCGAGUCCGGAAGAGGGGCGUGGAAUUCCCAGUGUAGAGGUGAAAUUCGUAGAUAUUGGGAAGAACACCGGUGGCGAAGGCGGCGCCCUGGUCCGGUACUGACGCUGAGGCGCGAAAGCGUGGGGAGCAAACAGG